CUUCUUUCUGCAAAUAAACAAAUGUUUGUUGGCAGCCAUACAUACGUGAUUCACAGAAACCAGUUACUGGGUGUAUUGGUUCUAUAUAAAAGCUUUCGAAUUUGUAGGAUUGUAUCAAUCAAGAUUUGUUGCUUUGGAAGUCGACAUUUAAAAUGAGAUCGAUUGUUUUAAUUGCUGCGUUGGUCGGACUGGCCUCGGCUACUUACUUCGAUCCAGUUCUUGUGCCACAGUCUUACGACAGAAGCAUAUUUUUUGGAGAUUACGUUGAACCCCAGCUCUGGCGACGUCCGCCAUACCCUGUACGGUUCGUGAUGACACAGCAGUAUAAUGCUAUGCCACUUGCCCCUAUUCGGGCUAAUGUGGGUGCAAUGACAGAAGCACCUAAAACUGAGGCUAAAAAAAAGACGGAUUUUCUCAAAGAAGAAAGUUUGUAUCAUGUUGCUAAGGAAUAUGCUGAAAAAAUAAAAAAGUUCGAAAAUA